UCGUAGGUGGUUUGUCGCGUUGUUCGUGAAAUCUCACGGCUUAACUGUGAGCGUGCGGGCGAUACGGGCAGACUAGAGUACUGCAGGGGAGACUGGAAUUCCUGGUGUAGCGGUGGAAUGCGCAGAUAUCAGGAGGAACACCGGUGGCGAAGGCGGGUCUCUGGGCAGUAACUGACGCUGAGGAGCGAAAGCGUGGGGAGCGAACAGGAUUAGAUACCCUGGUAGUCCACGCCGUAAACGGUGGGUACUAGGUGUGGGUUUCCUUCCUUGGGAUCCGUGCCGUAGCUAACGCAUUAAGUACCCCGCCUGGGGAGUACGGCCGCAAG
rnacentral:rRNA from 1 species